AAGUUCCUCAAACCACAUUUUGGUGUGGCUUUGGAUGUGGGGGAAAUGUGUUUGCAGGUCUCUGAAAUGAAGCCUGCUCCCCUGAAAUGCAUUAGUAGUAUCCAAGCAGACUACCGGGUGUGAUAAUUUAUCUAUGCCCUUGAUAGGCUGCAUGACUGCUUCCAAUCAACUUUAUCUCUUUU
rnacentral:misc_RNA from 1 species